rnacentral:rRNA from 1 species
UUAAAUUGAAGAGUUUGAUCAUGGCUCAGAUUGAACGCUGGCGGCAGGCCUAACACAUGCAAGUCGAGCGGUAGCACAGAGAGCUUGCUCUCGGGUGACGAGCGGCGGACGGGUGAGUAAUGUCUGGGAAACUGCCUGAUGGAGGGGGAUAACUACUGGAAACGGUAGCUAAUACCGCAUAACGUCGCAAGACCAAAG